GAUGAACGCUGGCGGCGUGCCUAAUACAUGCAAGUCGAGCGAACAGAUGAGGAGCUUGCUCCUCUGACGUUAGCGGCGGACGGGUGAGUAACACGUGGAUAACCUACCUAUAAGACUGGGAUAACUUCGGGAAACCGGAGCUAAUACCGGAUAAUAUAUUGAACCGCAUGGUUCAAUAGUGAAAGACGGUUUUGCUGUCACUUAUAGAUGGAUCCGCGCCGCAUUAGCUAGUUGGUAAGGUAACGGCUUACCAAGGCAACGAUGCGUAGCCGACCUGAGAGGGGGAUCGGCCACACUGGAACUGAGACACGGCCCAGACUCCUACGGGAGGCAGCAGUAGGGAAUCUUCCGCAAUGGGCGAAAGCCUGACGGAGCAACGCCGCGUGAGUGAUGAAGGUCUUCGGAUCGUAAAACGCUGUUAUUAGGGAAGAACAAAUGUGUAAGUAACUAUGCACGUCUUGACGGUACCUAAUCAGAAAGCCACGGCUAACUACGU
rnacentral:rRNA from 1 species